UACGGAAGGCAGCAGUGGGGAAUAUUGCACAAUGGGCGAAAGCCUGAUGCAGCUAUGCCGCGUGUAUGAAGAAGGUCUUAGGGUUGUAAAGUACUUUCAUCGGGGAGGAAAAACAAAACUAAUAAUUUUAUUUCUUGACGUUACCCGAAAAAGAAGCACCGGCUAACUCCGUGCCAGCAGCCGCGGUAAUACGGAGGGUGCUAGCGUUAAUCAGAAUUACUGGGCGUAAAGAGCACGUAGGUGGUUUUUUUAAGUCAGAUGUGAAAUCCCUGGGCUUAACCUAGGAACUGCAUUUUGAAACUGAAAUACUAGAGUAUCGUAGAGGGAGGUAGAAUUCUAGGUGUAGCGGUGAAAUGCGUAGAUAUCUGGAGGAAUACCUGUGGCGAAAGCGGCCUCCUAAACGAAUACUGACACUGAGGUGCGAAAGCGUGGGGAGCAAACAGGGAUUAGAUACC
rnacentral:rRNA from 1 species